rnacentral:rRNA from 1 species
UACGAAGGGGGCUAGCGUUGUUCGGAAUUACUGGGCGUAAAGCGCGCGCAGGCGGUCUUCCAAGUCAGUGGUGAAAGCCCGGAGCUCAACUCCGGAACUGCCAUUGAAACUGUAAGACUUGAGGAUGAGAGAGGUGAGUGGAAUUCCCAGUGUAGAGGUGAAAUUCGUAGAUAUUGGGAAGAACACCGGUGGCGAAGGCGGCGCGCUGGACCUCUUCUGACGCUGAGGCGCGAAAGCCAGGGGAGCAAACGGG